rnacentral:rRNA from 1 species
AUUGAACGCUGGCGGCAGGCUUAACACAUGCAAGUCGAGCGAGCGGCGGACGGGUGAGUAAUGUAUGGGGAUCUGCCCGAUAGAGGGGGAUAACUACUGGAAACGGUGGCUAAUACCGCAUACUAUCGGAUGAACCCAUAUGGGAUUAGCUAGUAGGUGGGGUAAAGGCUCACCUAGGCGACGAUCUCUAGCUGGUCUGAGAGGAUGAUCAGCCACACUGGGGCUGAGAAACGGCCCAGACUCCUACGGGAGGCAGGAGGGGGGAAUAUUGCACAAGGGGCGCAAGCCUGAAGCAGCCAUGCCGCGUGUAUGAAGAAGGCCUUAGGGUUGUAAAGUACUUUCAGCGGGGAGGCGUUACCGACAGAAGAAGCACCGGCUAACUCCGUGCCAGCAGCCGCGGUAUUC